rfam:Gossypium raimondii Chr10_contig_1303, whole genome shotgun sequence.
UAUUAAAAUUAUUAUCCACUUGUAUUAUUAAAAAUUGGCGUGAUUGACGGAAUAACUACACAGUGACACAUGACGUGCCAUGUAUACCGCAUACUGACGAAUAGGGACCGGUUUUUAAAAGUAGAAUCAAAUAAAUUUUUUAACA